ACGAAGGGGGCUAGCGUUGCUCGGAAUGACUGGGCGUAAAGGGCGCGUAGGCGGCGAUCAAAGUCAGGCGUGAAAUUCCUGGGCUCAACCUGGGGGCUGCGCUUGAUACUUGGUUGCUUGAGUGGGGAAGAGGGUCGUGGAAUUCCCAGUGUAGAGGUGAAAUUCGCAGAUAUUGGGAAGAACACCGGUGGCGAAGGCGGCGACCUGGUCCUUGACUGACGCUGAGGCGCGAAAGCGUGGGGAGCAAACAG
rnacentral:rRNA from 1 species